CCCUUAGAUGUUCUGGGCUGCACGCGCGCUACACUGAUGCGCUCAACGAGUUUACGACCUUGCCCGGAAGGGUUGGGUAAUCUUUUUAAAACGCAUCGUGAUGGGGAUAGAUUAUUGCAAUUAUUAAUCUUUAACGAGGAAUUCCUAGUAAGCGCGAGUCAUCAGCUCGUGCUGAUUACGUCCCUGCCCUUUGUACACACCGCCCGUCGCUCCUACCGAUUGAAUGAUCCGGUGAAUAAUUCGGGCUGCAGCAGUGUUCAGUUCCUGAACGUUGCAGCGGAAAGUUUAGUGAACCUUAUCACUUAGAGGAAGGAGAAGUCGUAACA
rnacentral:rRNA from 1 species